CUUUUCAGGCAGAGCUAAGUCAUUUUUACAUGCUGUAGAGCAUGGUGAUUUGUGCGACCACACAGGUUUCCUCCUGGACAAAGCCUUUGACACCUCAUGUUUUAACAGAGGACAUCUGUACCAGUGGUAUCGUGAUACCAUCAGAGAUGACCAUGGGAGACUUAGGUUGUCAGCAUCGAGGAAAAAAUAUGUUCAUAAUUUGAGUUUGUUGAUUCAGACUUGCUAACAGGAUAACUACCUCAAUCAAGACAAAGAAACGGAGGUCUGCUGCAGUCAGGCAGAGCCUAGACGUACUGCUAUAAUAACCAUCUGUGAUGACGUGAAUUACACCAAGGAGGAUGUGCAGAAAGAUAUUUGCAUCCUUUACAAGGCACGGGGAAAAGACAUGAGGAAAACACCAUCCCAUCCUUCCCACGUGCACCACGGCACCGGGCUCAUCCCUUAUUCCCAGCUCCAAGAGGUGGCAGCAGCGCUCCUGCCUUCAGGAACCUGUUGCAGCAUGGGACCGGAGCUUCGUCCUGCCCUGGGAACGGGAGGACAGCAAGGGCACGCUGAUCCCCUCGGACAGCACUCGCAGCGUAGCACAAGACACGGGAAGUUUACCUGCCUGAGAAUACACAGGGCAACUCUUACUCACAAGACAGACACCAGCAUCAGAUAGUGGCAUCAAGAGCCAAAAUUUUGGACAGCUAAACCAAGGUAUUAAGAACUGAAACUAUUCAAAAUGUUCCUUCUGGGCCUUUUCUAGUCAUCACUUUACACAAAUAUAUCAAUUACUCCCAAUAUGUGUCUACACAUGCAUAUGCACACCCAUCACUUCUUUGGCUGUCAGAGUUUAGCCCUUAGUUCAUCCGAAGUGAGCUUUCUCAGAAGCUCUUUUUCUUCUCUGAGAGCUGUGAGCUGAAAUAGCUGGCGAGGGAGGAAUCACUUAAUAGAUAGGGAAGUACAUAUGCUUGCUGUCUUUGACCAACCUCCAGUUAGUACAGGUUUAGAGUUCUUCUUUGAGAACGUAGCUUUGACCAAGGAACUCAAGGUGCCAGUUGAGACUCUCCUGUUUGGUACCCAGCGACUUGAAUGGGACAUUCAGUGGGCUAGUUUGAAAGUAGCACUAGCUACUGCAGCCAAUACCUGCUCUGCAAGACCACCAGAAUUUCUGGCCUUGGAUGAGGCACAUCAUUCUACUUAAGUCCUUCUACUCUCCUCUUCGGCUGUUUUCAUUUUUAUAAAUUUAUCAAGUUAUUUUUCAACUUCCUUGGACCACAGCCUCCAUUUCAGUAACAUCUAACCUGCCAAGGAUGUGAGGACAUGAUUUCUGCCUGUGGUCAUUGCAUUUCUCCACAAGACCCAUCAAAAGAGAUAGCUUCUAUCCUGCCUUCUGCUAAUUUCUGCUGU